rnacentral:rRNA from 1 species
UACGAGGGGGGCGAGCGUUGUUCGGAAUUAUUGGGCGUAAAGGGUGCGUAGGCGGUUUGGUAAGUCUUAUGUGAAAUCUACAGGCUCAACUUGUAGUCUGCAUGAGAAACUGCCGGGCUUGAGUGUGGGAGAGGUGAGUGGAAUUCCUGGUGUAGCGGUGAAAUGCGUAGAUAUCAGGAGGAACACCAGUGGCGAAGGCGGCUUCCUGGACACCAACUGACGCUGAGACGCGAAAGCGUGGGGAGCAAACAGG